AAUGGGGGAAACCCUGACGCAGCAACGCCGCGUGAGUGAUGAAGGCUUUCGGGUCGUAAAGCUCUGUCUAGAGGGAAGAAGUGAUUAGUGGUUAAUACCCAUUAUUCUUGACGGUACCUCUGAAGGAAGCACCGGCUAACUCCGUGCCAGCAGCCGCGGUAAUACGGAGGGUGCAAGCGUUGUUCGGAAUUAUUGGGCGUAAAGCGCGUGUAGGCGGUCUUUUAAGUCUGAUGUGAAAGCCCCGGGCUCAACCUGGGAAGUGCAUUGGAAACUGGGAGACUUGAGUACGGGAGAGGAGAGUGGAAUUCCUAGUGUAGGAGUGAAAUCCGUAGAUAUUAGGAGGAACACCGGUGGCGAAGGCGGCUCUCUGGACCGAUACUGACGCUGAGACGCGAAAGCGUGGGUAGCAAA
rnacentral:rRNA from 1 species